AGAGUUUGAUCCUGGCUCAGAUUGAACGCUGGCGGUAUGCUUAACACAUGCAAGUCGAACGGAAACGAAACUAGCUUGCUAGUAGGCGUCGAGUGGCGGACGGGUGAGUAACGCGUAGGAAUCUGCCUGAUAGUGGGGGAUAGCCCGAAGAAAUUCGGAUUAAUACCGCAUAAUCUAUUCGUAGUAAAGUGGGGGACUUUCGAGCCUCACGCUAUCAGAUGAGCCUGCGUAAGAUUAGCUUGUUGGUAGGGUAAAAGCCUACCAAGGCAACGAUCUUUAGCUGGUCUGAGAGGAUGAUCAGCCACAUCGGGACUGAGACACGGCCCGAACUCCUACGGGAGGCAGCAGUGGGGAAUAUUGGACAAUGGGGGCAACCCUGAUCCAGCAAUACCGCGUGUGUGAAGAAGGCCCGAGGGUUGUAAAGCACUUUCAAUUGUGAAGAAAAGUUAGCGGUUAAUAACCGUUGACCUUGACGUUAACUAUAGAAGAAGCACCGGCUAACUCCGUGCCAGCAGCCGCGGUAAUACGGAGGGUGCAAGCGUUAAUCGGAAUUACUGGGCGUAAAGCGUGCGUAGGCGGUUUAUUAAGUCAGAUGUGAAAGCCCCGGGCUUAACCUGGGAACUGCAUUUGAAACUGGUCAACUAGAGUAUGGUAGAGGAAAGUGGAAUUUCUGGUGUAGCGGUGAAAUGCGUAGAUAUCAGAAGGAACAUCAAUGGCGAAGGCAGCUUUCUGGACCAAUACUGACGCUGAGGUACGAAAGCGUGGGUAGCAAACAGGAUUAGAUACCCUGGUAGUCCACGCCGUAAACGAUGAUAACUAGCCGUUGGGGGGAUUUACCCCUUAGUGGCGAAGCUAACGCGUUAAGUUAUCCGCCUGGGGAGUACGGCCGCAAGGCUAAAACUCAAAGGAAUUGACGGGGACCCGCACAAGCGGUGGAGCAUGUGGUUUAAUUCGAUGCAACGCGAAGAACCUUACCUGGUCUUGACAUCCUGCGAACUUUCUAGAAAUAGAUUGGUGCCUUCGGGAACGCAGUGACAGGUGCUGCAUGGCUGUCGUCAGCUCGUGUCGUGAGAUGUUGGGUUAAGUCCCGUAACGAGCGCAACCCCUAUCCUUAUUUGCCAGCACAUUAUGGUGGGAACUAUAAGGAGACUGCCGGUGAUAAACCGGAGGAAGGCGGGGACGACGUCAAGUCAUCAUGGCCCUUACGACCAGGGCUACACACGUGCUACAAUGGGAAGGACAAAGAGCCGCGAAGCCGCGAGGUGUAGCUAAUCUCAUAAAUCUUUUCGUAGUCCGGAUUGGAGUCUGCAACUCGACUCCAUGAAGUCGGAAUCGCUAGUAAUCGUAGAUCAGAAUGCUACGGUGAAUACGUUCCCGGGUCUUGUACACACCGCCCGUCAUACCAUGGGAGUGGGUUGCACCAGAAGUGGCUAGUCUAACUUUGUGAGGACGGUCACCACGGUGUGAUUCAUGACUGGGGUAAAGUCGUAACAAGGUAACC
rnacentral:rRNA from 1 species